rnacentral:rRNA from 1 species
CAAGUCGAACGGCAGCACGGGAGCAAUCCUGGUGGCGAGUGGCGAACGGGUGAGUAAUAUAUCGGAACGUGCCCAGUCGUGGGGGAUAACGUAGCGAAAGCUACGCUAAUACCGCAUACGAUCUAUGGAUGAAANCGGGGGAUCGCAAGACCUCGCGCGAUUGGAGCGGCCGAUAUCAGAUUAGGUAGUUGGUGAGGUAAAGGCUCACCAAGCCGACGAUCUGUAGCUGGUCUGAGAGGACGACCAGCCACACUGGGACUGAGACACGGUCCAGACUCCUACGGGAGGCAGCAGUGGGGAAUAUUGGACAAUGGGCGAAAGCCUGAUCCAGCCAUGCCGCGUGUGUGAAGAAGGUCUUCGGAUUGUAAAGCACUUUAAGUUGGGAGGAAGGGCAGUAAGUUAAUACCUUGCUGUUUUGACGUUACCAACAGAAUAAGCACCGGCUAACUUCGUG